UACGUAGGGUGCGAGCGUUGUCCGGAAUUAUUGGGCGUAAAGGGCUCGUAGGCGGUUUGUUGCGUCGGGAGUGAAAACACCGGGCUUAACUCGGUGCUUGCUUUCGAUACGGGCAGACUAGAGGCAUGCAGGGGAGAACGGAAUUCCUGGUGUAGCGGUGAAAUGCGCAGAUAUCAGGAGGAACACCGGUGGCGAAGGCGGUUCUCUGGGCAUGUCCUGACGCUGAGGAGCGAAAGUGUGGGGAGCGAACAGG
rnacentral:rRNA from 1 species